rnacentral:rRNA from 1 species
UACGUAGGGGGCAAGCGUUGUCCGGAUUUACUGGGCGUAAAGAGCGUGUAGGCGGCCAAACAGGUCCGUUGUGAAAACUGGAGGCUCAACCUCCAGACGUCGACGGAAACCGUGUGGCUAGAGUCCGGAAGAGGAGAGUGGAAUUUCGUGUGUAGGGGUGAAAUCCGUAGAUCUACGAAGGAACGCCAAAAGCGAAGGCAGCUCUCUGGGUCCCUACCGACGCUGGGGUGCGAAAGCAUGGGGAGCGAACAGG